AAUGGUUGGAGUAAGAGUUGCAUAUUUUGGGUAAAUACCAUCAGUUAAGUAAUAACCCGUCAUAUAUGAACGAUCGUUCACUGUAUAAGAAAUUGAAGGCAUUCUACCAAGUAUCAUAUUAUCAAAAAGUGGAGAAUGAUCCAAGACAUUAAUAUCAUUAUUUACACCUGACAUGCCAAAAAAAGAAUGUCAAAUCCAUGUAUCCUGGUAUGCAACUGCUUCUAAAAUUAAUGUUGGUUUGUGGUGGUGACCCUGUGUGUGCCUUGCCAAGCAGUUGGACAAUUUUUUCAUUGCGAUUGCAUAAAAUCUAAAGAUCCAAGCAUACCUGGAAAACCUUCUUGUAGAAGAUGGUGAAUAUCAUGUUCAUUUGGUGAACGCAUGUACUUUUCU
rnacentral:lncRNA from 1 species